UACGGGGGGGGCAAGCGUUGUUCGGAAUUACUGGGCGUAAAGGGUUCGUAGGUGGCUUGUUAAGUCAGACGUGAAAUCCCUCGGCUCAACCGGGGAACUGCGUCUGAGACUGAUGAGCUCGAGUGCAGGGGAGGAACGCGGAAUUCCAGGUGUAGCGGUGAAAUGCGUAGAUAUCUGGAGGAACACCGGUGGCGAAGGCGGUUCUCUGGGCCUUACCUGACGCUGAGGAGCGAAAGCGUGGGGAGCGA
rnacentral:rRNA from 1 species